AUUUAGGUAUACGUUCAAUGUUUCCAAUGAUGAGCAGUUAAUCCACUAAACCCAAAGAUAAUUCCUGAGGCAUGUUUAAAGAGUUUUGUAUUUCAUCAAGUAAGUGCUGAUUCACAAAGAUUUUAUAUUUAAGAAAAUCUGAGCAUCAUUCAAAAUAACUGUUAACAUGUUUGUCAACUAAACAUUAUAACUAUCAACGUUAUAAACUUUAUAGAAAUAUUUUUUAUUAAUGACCAAGUAUAAAGAACAAUGCAUAGUGUGAAAACGCGGAUUAUAUAAAAGUAUAUAAUAAAGUGCGAGCAGAGGAUCAAUCAAACUUGGGCUGGAAUGAUUGUAGUGCAUCCAAUGCACCUUGGAAAUCGUAGUUUACAUCUACAGCAGCAUAUGCUACAGCAGUGACAACGCCAAAGAAAAGGACUACAUUUCCCAGAAUGCACCUGCACCCACUCAUCUGCCCCUUCAGGUGCGACCGCUUCACCUAUGGGCUUGACGGGAAAAUUCAAAAUCGCGAACCGUUACAGCCUGUGGACGGUGUCUUUGUUUGUUUGCUUAUCAACAGUAAGAGGUCAUGUACACUGUGGUCAACUUUGUGGACGCUGAAGAGGUUUCUGGGUAAAGAUGAUAGAAAUAUAAUGAAGUAACAGUGGAAGCUAAAACAUAAGACUGAUCCAGACAAGAAAUUGAUGUCACUGCAAUCUGGCCAAAAUGAUACAACUAUAUUGAAGUAGCCUACAGUAAUGAAGCUGCAGAACGUCACAGAGACUCUGAGGACAUCAACACACAAAAUCAAGGCUCCAAAGAGAUGGCUGUCCAGAUGAGGGUGCAUCAACGUUACCUUUGCUGACAAGUAUAUGCUUUACAAUGUAAAACCGUUAACUUAACUCAAACCAUUUAAGGAAAUCGGUUGCCUUAAACCAUUAAGUUUUAAAAAACAUACAUUUGAGUACUGUGAACUUAAGUCUUGUGCAAUUAUGCACUUAUAUUUAGGUAGUGUGAACUUAAAUAUAAGUGCUUAACUGCAUGUGACUCAAUUUGUUUAAGUUCACAGUACUCAAAUCUAUGCGUUUUAAAACUUGAAUGGUUUAAUGCAACCGGUUUUCUUAAAUGUGAGAAAUUACAGUGUUACAGUGAGAAAUGUUUGAAUAAUUCCAAGACAGAUCUCUGUGAUUGAUUCUACACUGCAAAAAAAUCACUUUCUAACACUUAUCUUGUUUUCAGUAGAAAAACUAAAAAUUCUUAAAUCAAGAUGCAUUUUCUUGAUGAGCAAAAUUACCUUAGAAAAUAUGUCUAGUUUUUAGACAAAAAUAUACAAUUUAAGAUAAUUUGUGCCUAAACAAGAAAAAAUAUCUAACAAUAAGGUGAGAAAAUUGUGUUUUAAUUAAGUUUUUAAGAAAAAAGAAAACUUAAGAUUUUUUUCUCACACUAUUGGCAGAUAUUUUUGCUUGUUUUAAGCACAAAUUCACUUAGUGUGUGUGUGUGUAUUAUUUAUUUAAAUAAUAUUUCUACUGAAAACAAGACAAAAAUACUAUGUAAGAAAGUCAUUUUUUGCAAUGUUGGACUGAUUUCUUAAGAGCAAGAUCAAUAUAGUUGUUGUUCAUUUUAUUUAGAUAUUUACUACAUUACAGUGGCAGCUGGUGACUUCUUUUUUUUGUGAGCACUAUCACUCGAUGCGAAGUUUGUCACAACAUGUAUAUAGCCCGUCAUUUGUGUGGUUCCCAAUUUCAAAAUAUGUGUUCAUUGUGUCGAGUGCAUGUAUGUGCAUCACGUGUUUUGACUAAACACGUGAUGCACGUGGUUUACAUGAAGCAACAAACACAUAUUUUAAAAACACAAGCAACACACAUGACACUCCGAACACUUAUUUUGAAUUUUCAACCCUCGGAUGAGCAGUCACGAGCCGCCACUGUUACAUUACAUUGUACUGCUUUGAAUGUAGUUUUCAUUGUUGCUUUUAUUUUGUUUUUAUUUUACUCUAUUUUACUCUAAUAUUGCUUUCUCUGUCUGUAUAUUUAUGAGUUUAAAUGGUAUUGUUUAUGUAUACAACUUUCAAUAUUUGUGUAUUAUAUUAUUUUGUGAUUGUGACAAUUGUGGAUUGUUCAGUUUUUUAUUAAAUAAACAUUUCAAACUCAAUUCAAGUUUUUAUUUUUUUAAGGGUUUUGGGGAUGUAUAGUAGUAUAUAGUGGGGGGGGGGGGUUGUAGUCUAUCUGCAUAGCAGGCAAAUAACCAAUCAAGUCACUAAGCUAUGAGGGCUUGGGUUGGGCUUAAAACAAAGUGUAACCAAUCAAAUCAUCUCAACUAGAAAGUUUCAAAGUUGUGUCCCAAUAGUUGUCAGGGUUUUGGGAGGGGGUUUUAAAAGCAACCAAUCAGUGUUGAGAUUAAACACCAAUGGGGACACUAGAAUUGUGCAAAGGUGUGAAAUUCCAGUACCUCUGUAGGUGUGAAAGUGGCCCCUGCCAAAAUCUUCAAUGGGAUUACUUGCCAUGGCAACAAAUGGCUGCAUAUUCCACGGUGAUAUCCCCUCAGCAAGAUACAUCCGAAUUGGUAUCAUUACGGGAGUUUCCUAACUUGGUGGAAUUAGUAGUUUACCCUCAGUGGAACUAGUAGAUACUUCCGAAAAUCAGUGGUGUUUACAGGAGUUUCCUAGUACGGAUACACAUCUUUUC